rnacentral:rRNA from 1 species
AGAGUGAACGCUGGCGGCAGGCCUAACACAUGCAAGUCGAGCGGCAGCGCGGGGGCAACCCUGGCGGCGAGCGGCGGACGGGUGAGGAACACAUCGGAAUCUACCCUGUCGUGGGGGACAACGUAGGGAAACUUACGCUAAUACCGCAUGAUCUGGAGACAGCAAAGCGGGGGACCGGCAACGGCCUCGCGCGAUGGGAUGAGCCGAUGUCCGAUUAGCUAGUUGGCGGGGUAAGAGCCCACCAAGGCGACGAUCGGUAGCUGGUCUGAGAGGACGACCAGCCACACUGGAACUGAGACACGGUCCAGACUCCUACGGGGGGCAGCAGUGGGGAAUAUUGGACAAUGGGCGCAAGCCUGAUCCAGCAAUGCCGCGUGAGUGAUGAAGGCCUUAGGGUUGUAAAGCUCUUUCGCCCGCGACGAUGAUGACGGUAGCGGGAGAAGAGCCCGGCUAACUCGUGCCAGCAGCCGCGGUAA